ensembl:processed_transcript
CUCGACUCUGUGGAAAAGCACCGAGUAUUUUGUGCACACGUGUGCUGUUGAUAGAUUGAAAUUGAACAGCGAGCUAGGGAACAUAACGAAGGAAAUAAUGUGAUGACCUACAGUAAGCAGGUUGCAGUGACAAACGCUGUAACCCGAGGCAGGGUGCACCAGGCAGUCGGCAGGAUGCCUCCACAAAGCUCAUGGUUUCAAGUUGAGUCAGAGGUUUCGUGUGUGGGUGGAAAGAGGUUUCCUGGGCUGUUCCACCAUCAGAGGCCUGAGUGGGAGACCAACCACUCCUUAAAAUGGAAACAUUUCUGCUGCACGAUGUCACACAUGCUGGAUUGAGACAUAUUGUCACCAUGGGAACAAGCGACGUCCUCACAAAGGCUCUGUCUCAUCUUGAUGGACACUAAUGGUGGUUUACCGACAUGGAAGCGCUGGUCCAAAGUGAUCAGGAAGUCAUGAAUAUCCUCCCUUCAGUUUCCUCCAGCUGAUGACAUCCUUUGGUUGAAAAGG